GACGAACGCUGGCGGCGUGCUUAACACAUGCAAGUCGAGCGGUAAGGCCCUUUCGGGGGUACACGAGCGGCGAACGGGUGAGUAACACGUGGGUGACCUGCCCUCAGCUCUGGGAUAAGCCUGGGAAACUGGGUCUAAUACCGGAUAUGACUUCACAUCGCAUGGUGUGUUGUGGAAAGUCCUGGGCUUUAUUGUCUGGGUUCGGCUGGGGAUGGGCCCGCGGCCUAUCAGCUUGUUGGUGGGGUGAUGGCCUACCAAGGCGACGACGGGUAGCCGGCCUGAGAGGGCGACCGGCCACACUGGGACUGAGACACGGCCCAGACUCCUACGGGAGGCAGCAGCGGGGAAUAUUGCGCAAUGGGCGGAAGCCUGACGCAGCGACGCCGCGUGGGGGAUGACGG
rnacentral:rRNA from 1 species